rnacentral:rRNA from 1 species
GACGAACGCUGGCGGCGUGCUUAACACAUGCAAGUCGAACGGAAAGGCCCUGCUUUUGUGGGGUGCUCGAGUGGCGAACGGGUGAGUAACACGUGAGUAACCUGCCCUUGACUUUGGGAUAACUCCAGGAAACUGGGGCUAAUACCGGAUAGGAGCUCCUGCUGCAUGGUGGGGGUUGGAAAGUUUCGGCGGUUGGGGAUGGACUCGCGGCUUAUCAGCUUGUUGGUGGGGUAGUGGCUUACCAAGGCUUUGACGGGUAGCCGGCCUGAGAGGGUGACCGGCCACAUUGGGCCUGAGGUACGGACCAGAAUCCUACGGGAGGCAGCAGUGGGGAAUAUUGCACAAUGGGCGGAAGCCUGAUGCAGCAACGCCGCGUGCGGGAUGACGGCCUUCGGGUUGUAAACCGCUUUCGCCUGUGACGAAGCGUGAGUGACGGUAAUGGGUAAAGAAGCACCGGCUAACUACGUG